UUUGACAAAGCGCACUGCUUAGGUAAAUGAUCUGAGUAGUUGUUCAUCACUGAGCAAUUUGUUAAUAUGUGUUUCGAGCCAAAUAAAUGACAGGGAGAGAGAGUGACGGCAGAACACGUCAUACUAUAACCUCCCGGGAGCGGACGGAGGGGGUCAGUCGUUGGGAUGCGCAUGCGCAGACAGAGUGUGCGAGCGGCGGGCCUUGACCUUUCGGGGGAAAAAACUCUUUCUCACGGACGGUGACAGCGAAACGGAUAACAGUCUUCAGUACCUGCUGGACUUUGAAGCUGUGGAUUCUGGGACUGUUGGAAAAGAGGCAGCGGCGAGAGGGGAGACCUCAGCUCAUCCAGCUGGAGAGCCUGACCAGGAGGAGUCGAACAUUAACUCAGCUCUUCCAGGGCACCCUGCAGACUCAGCUGCUGGCAACAGCGAGGGAUGACGUGAACACCAAACUGGAGUCCAUCACAGGUCAACUGCAGCUCCUUGUUUCAGAGUGGGAGGGGUUUGAAGCA